ensembl:snoRNA small nucleolar RNA, C/D box 49A
GUUGAUGAUGAUACCCCUGAAUAGGAAGUGCCGUCAGAUGCGAGAACUGACGAUAACUUUCUUGCUUAUCUGAAA